rnacentral:misc_RNA from 1 species
AACGCACCUUGCGCCCCUUGGCAUUCCGAGGGGCACACCUGUUUGAGUGUCGUAAACAUCCUUCAACCUUUCUCCGUUUUCUUGGCGGGGAAAGGCUUGGACUUUGGGGGUUUUUCAUUGCUGGCCUCGUUCGAAGCCGGCUCCUCCUAAAUGGAUUAGUGGGGUCUUCCUUGCUGACCUUCGACGUGAUAAGAUCUUUUCUAUGUCUCUGUCAUCUUGGACCUUGCUUCUAAAACCGUCUCGCAUACAAGACGAUUAUGAACCCUUGACCUCAAAUCGGGUGAGACUACCCACUGAACUUAA